CUGUUCUAGCCAUGCCAGCGUGAGUGACGAAGGCCUUAGGGUCGUAAAGCUCUUUCGCCAGGGAUGAUAAUGACAGUACCUGGUAAAGAAACCCCGGCUAACUCCGUG
rnacentral:rRNA from 1 species